GAUGAACGCUGACAGAAUGCUUAACACAUGCAAGUCUUUGGCGAAGCUGUGCUUGCACAGCCUAGCCAAGGCGGACGGGUGAGUAACGCGUAAGGGACUUGCCCUGCAGUCAGGGAUAACAGACGGAAACGACUGAUAAGACCUGGUAAAGUCAGGCGGACUCAUGUCCAGCCUGAUGAAAAGGAAUGCUGCAGGAGAGCCUUGCGUCCUAUUAGCUUGUUGGUGGGGUAACGGCCCACCAAGGCGAUGAUAGGUAGCCGGCCUGAGAGGGUGGACGGCCACAAGGGGACUGAGAUACGGCCCUUACUCCUACGGGAGGCAGCAGUGGGGAAUAUUGGACAAUGGGGGCAACCCUGAUCCAGCAAUUCUGUGUGCACGAUGAAGGUCUUCGGAUUGUAAAGUGCUUUCAGCAGGGAAGAAAAAAAGACGGU
rnacentral:rRNA from 1 species